AACCCACCCCCGUCUUCUCCCUCCCUCCCACCCCCGAAUUCCCGGCCAAAUCCCCGCCACCUUCCUCUCCACGCACAGCCGCCACAAGCUGCCCCGCCACCUUCCCCUCUGCGGCCGGCCGCCGUGAGCCAGCGCCGCUCCGCCACCAUCUUCUCCGCGCGCGGCAACCGCAAGCCCGCGCCGCCGCUCCACCUCUCACCCCGCGCCGCUGCGCCACCUCUCACCCCGCCGGCCACCAUCUACCUCCGCCGCCGUGCACUCAAUCUGGACCACUAGUCCUGCCACGGUGCCCGGCCACGACCUGAGCGAAAGCCCUGCCCCGGCGCGGCGAACCCACCCUGGCCGCGGCCCCACCCUCCCCCUUCUCCGGAUCUCGCCUAGGUGGUUUUGGCCGCCGCCUUCCACCGUGCCCCCAUGGUGAACCGCCUUCCUUCCCAGCGUCGGAGCUCCCCACGGCCCCGUUCGAUCCCGGUAGUUCGUUCUCAAGCCAUGCGCCGGAUCCGUCGAUCCCGGCGGUUUCGUCCUCGAGCCACAAGUCGGAUCAGACCGGCGAGAAGGAGCUAGCCACUAGAUCCACUGAUCUCCAGGGGCGUCCACGCGCCUGCGUGCAGUUUAGUUCCCCCGGUGAUGUAGUCUGUCGUCACGUCGUGCUGCAGCUCCACAUCGCUGCUUGUGCAGUGCACAAUCGUUGCUGCUGCAUCUCGGCAGCUCGCCCCCGUGCAUGGUCGCCGCCGCCGUGCAGUUCGGCCAGAGCUGCAGCUCUCUCUCCUCACCUCAUGCAGUUCGCGGUGAACGACAAAGAUGAUGGCAGCGAGACGCGAAUGUCUGAAGCUUUCUAUGUGCAGAGCGACGAGUGAAGGGGCACGCCAAGUAGGAAUCAGGGGAGGGGGUCUCUGGAACGUGGCCGUUGCUCCUCAUUUCUAAUGCCACCGAUCGUUGAUGGAUGUUCUGUACCUCCCUCUCUUUCAGGCUACUGCCAUCACCACUCUCAAAUGAAAAAAGUUAUGGUCCGCUGUUAGCUGAUACUUUUUUUGUUUUGUUCUUUUGUUUAGAAAAAAUCAAGUGGACUUCAGUUAGCUAUUGCAGGAGAAGACAAAAAAAAAUGCAAGAUUUAGUUUGUAAUUAUUGAAGAAAUCUGAUGUAGUUCGUUUGUGUGAUGACUUGUGAUUCGCUAUGUAAAAAGAAAAUGGAAAACCCAAGAUGAAGCCCUUCUUUUGUAAA